rnacentral:rRNA from 1 species
AGACGAACCGUGCAAACGUUGUUCGGAAUCACUGGGCUUAAAGGGCGCGUAGGCGGUGUGUUAAGUCGGUGGUGAAAUACUUCGGCUCAACCGGAGAAUUGCCGCUGAAACUGGCACGCUAGAGGGAGGUAGAGGUGUGUGGAACUUCCGGUGGAGUGGUGAAAUACGUUGAUAUCGGAAGGAACGCCUGUGGCGAAAGCGAUACACUGGACCUCUUCUGACGCUGAGGCGCGAAAGCUAGGGUAGCGAACGGG